CUUGAUCAGCGUAGUAUUUGAUGGUAAAGAAACAAAAUGGUUCUCGACAGUACGCACAUGGCUCAAGAUGCUUCACGUGAUAUUAAAUUAAAAAGUACAGACAAAAUGAAUUCAACAAUUUUUGAUAGUUUUGCGAAAAUUAUAAAUAAACAGGAUGCAGUGAGACGUGAUGGUGGACUUGCGUUAUUAAAACAUUUGCACGAACAUCCUUCUGAUGUAAAUGACAACAAAGAAUUCAAAUAUGCUAUUACGAGAUUAAUACGUGGAUUGGGAUCCUCGAAAUUAUAUGCCAGAAAGGGUUUUUAUAGUACGCUAACAACUUUUUUAAUUACACAUCCUGAUGUUUCAAUAGACACAAUUUUAACUAAAAUGGAUACAGAAUUACAACCAACAAACAGCAAUGCUAAAAGUGAAAAAGCUGACAUAUAUAUGGGUCGUAUAUUAACUUGUGGUGCAUUGAUACGAUCAAAAUUACUUUUGAAUAGUACAACUGAUACUCAAUCAAAAGUAGUGGAAAUACUUCUAAAUGCUGGGAAUCAACGUAGCUAUUUAUCUUUCGUUUCCAUUUCAUUUUUAAUGGAAUUUAUAAAUCAACUUAACACAGACUCUGUCAAAACAUCUAUUUGGCCAUUAAUGGAAAAAGAGUUUGGCAAGCCUUGGGCAGAACAAACUUUAGAUUUAUUUUACGCUUUGUUGGUUAUCAGAGAUAAAUUUCCAGCGCUUAUGAAUCAAGAUUUUUUAAAAAAAUAUUUAUCUUCCAAUGAUAUCAUCACGAAGGAAAACAUAAACAAUAUAGUGAAUAUAUUAACAGAUUUACCCAGGAUAAAAUCUUGCCAUCAUCCAGUAUUCGUUUUAUUUUGUGAAAAAUUGGCAGCGACUGAUUUAGUAACCGACUUCUGGUUAGCCAUAGACAGUAAAUUUAAAAAGCCAUCUAAAACACAUGAGCACGUUGCUAUUGAAAUUUUAAAACAUUUACUUGUACAUUUAAAUGACAAAACAGUGUUUCCAUCCUUGUUAUCUACAGAUUUCUUGCAACAUAUGUUAAAAAAAUGUUCUAUUUUAAAGAGAAAUAAGAACGAUGAAGUUGUUGUAGCAUUUAAGGAUUUAUUAAAUUUGUUAAUAACAAGCGUUAAAGAUACUAAAACAAAAAUACAAAUAAAUGUAUUAAAAAAACUGAUCCUGUAUCCUGGUGAUCUAAUGAUAGAAAAAAAAACAGGUGUCAAAAUAAUCCAACUGAUCACAGGCGAUUUAAAUGCAGAUGGAGUUAAAAAGUUAUCAAAUCUCUAUAGAAGCAUUAUAGAGAAUACAAUUCCUAAAGAAAGAGAAUGUUCACAAACAGAAAGCUGGACAAAUGCUGAAAGAAUCUAUGCUGUUCAAUUACUAACGAGAUUAAUAACUCAUCCAGCAAUACUAUCAGAUCAAGAAUGGAAGUUGAAUCAAUUAAAGUUCUUGUUUCUGUUUGGUUUCUGCGAAGUUCCACAAGUUGGUGUAGAACUUGUUCCACAUUUCAAAGAUAGUUUUUACCGUGCUUUGGAUCAUAAGAUGCCUAAAUUGAAUGAUUUACGAAAUAUGUUAAGCGCAUUAGUUCAUUAUUUAAAUACAGAAUUAAGUUCUGAGAAUAUUAAAUUACGGGUACCAUUGAGCGAGGAAUCAGAAGCAGCAUGGAAAAAAGCGAUUCGUUUGAUAGAAAAAUUAGAGAAUAAUCCCAAUGCAAAAGCUAUACCCAUAUUUCAUACCAUAUGUUUACACAUGGGAUUACAACUCUUCUCGGAUCCGGAAGUAGCAGUUAUGUCUAUCAACGAAUUGCAAAGUUGUUACGAUCGAGUUAAAAAGAAAUCUAAAUUAAAUAAUAAUACAAAAUUAAAAGAUGAACCAGAAUGGGUAGAAGUUGUGAUAGAUCUUUUGUUAUCUCUUUUAUCUAAAAAUAGUCAUUUGAUGCGUUCAUUGGUUACUUGCGUUUUUCCACAUAUUUGCCCGUACAUAGUCUCGAUGUCUCAGAUAUUAUCCGUCUUGGAUAUCAAAAAAGAGAUCAAUCCAUUGUCUAUGAACGGUGACGAUAAUGAAGAAUCUUCAGGUUCUGACGAGGAUGACGAAAACGAUGAGAAUAAUGUUGAGGAACAUAAUGCAGAAGUUACAACCGAUUCCUCAGAAGAAAGUGACAUGGAUUGCGAUAAAGAAGACGAAGAUGAAGAUGAAACUGUUACAGAUAUGUUACGUGUUGCUGUGAGUCAAGCAUUAGGAGGUACUAACCCUGAUAAUAACGACGAAGAUAUGGACGUAGAUAAAAUUGACGAAGCUGAGGGUAAACGAUUGGAUGAGUCAUUAGCGGCAGCAUUUAAAAUUCUUCGUCAAAAUCGUCGUGGACAAUCGAAGAAACAAGAAAAAUCAGCACAAACGUUAACACAUUUUAGAGCUAGAGUUACAGAUUUGUUAGAAAUUUAUUUAGAUUGCAACCCAGCAAUGGCUGUUGUAUUAGAUAUGCUUGUUCCACUUUUUGCUUUAUUAGAAUUUUGUAUAAAGGAUCCACAUCAAAAACCUUUAGAGAAUCGAGUACGAGCUUGUUUAAAGAAAUUAUCGACUAUUAAAAAAUUCAGAGAUACAGAGGGAGUCGAUAAUGAAUUAUUAACAAUCAUUUUGAAGACUUUAAUUGAAAAAGGAGAACGUUCUGCUUCUGUUUGUCAAGAAAUGGGAGACAAAUUAGCUGAAUGUUGCGCUUUCCUAAUACGCUGUGUGCAAUAUGUAGGAUUGCUUGAUGAUACUUUUGUAGACAUUUAUAAAACUAACUUAACAGCUUUUUUCAAGAAAAGAGAUUGCAUUUUGCCAGGUAUUCUUUUCAAAAGUCUGUUACAACAAUCGUGGGAAGGAAAUUGGCAGCUAAUACCAUUAUUAGUGGAAUAUGCAUUUGAUUUGAACACGAUCAGAUCAUUUCGUAGAGGCCAAGCCUUAGAAUUUUUAAUUAUUUUCUAUAAAAAUAAUAGAUUAAUUCGUUCUGAGUCUACGAAGAACAAGAAUAGAAUUAAAAUGGAAAAGAAAUUAUGUGAAAACAGUAUAAAUCUAUUACAAGAUCUAUGUAACGUGAAUGAAUGUAAAGAUGAACAAUUAACUUCAGAUGAAAAUUGUAGUAUUAAAAUUAAUCAGAAAUUUGUAUAUCUGUUCCUUACUCUAUUACACACAAUUCAUGGACAACAUUUACAAGAAAUUUGGAAAUGGGAAACUAUCAAGGAAAAAUUAAUCAGAUACAGGACUAAAGCUGUACUUUCUAAAGAUGCAAGAAGUGCAUACAAUAGAUUAGCACAACUAAUUGGGUUAUCUCUUAAUUGUCCUGCGAAGAAACAAGAAACUGAUUUAAGUCCCAAAGUUAAUGGACAGAUUUCUAAUGUAAAGGAAAAAGAUGAAAAAGAACAAGAAGAACAAAAAAAGGAAGCUGUUAUAGAGAUUGACGAUGAGGAAAAUAGUACAGAAAUAAACAAAGCAAAAUUAAAGAAGAAAAAGAAAAAUAAGAGUAAACAAAAAGAGAAGCAAUUGUUGAAAAAAGAAUCACGUGAAUUACGUCUACAGACAAUGUCCGAAGGUUUAGAUGCAUUUCAAUUCAGUAGCUCCGUAAAUCUUCCAAAUGAGAUUAAUGAGACCGAUAGCAUACAAAAUGAUUUACCUGUGGUGGAAACAAAUGGUAUUUCUAAACAUAAAAGAUUACCUACAGAUAAUCUAGAUGAUUUUAAUAUACCAAAAAGAAAAAAGAAAUCAAAAAAUUGAUUGAUUAUAAGCGUGUAAUAAAUAUGAAAUUGAAAACUAUACUAUAAGAAAAUGUGUGACUGUAUGGCAUUUAAUAAUUUAAAUGCUUAAGCUAUCCAAACGUAUGCAAUGUGACUUCAGAGAUAGACGUGGAAAAAAAUGAACUAGAAAUGCCUGGCGAUUGUACUCAUCCUUACUUGUUAAGAAGUCGUAUUCUUUAUCCGAUUUUAGAGAGAGAGAGAGAAAGAUAAAAGUUUUAUACAUACGAGCUAAUUACAGAAUAUUAUCAAAGUAGGUGUUUAGUUACAUACAAAUUAUUCUAGAAUAUUACCUAUUUUUAGACACGAUUUUUGUAAAGAAAAUAAAAUUUCUUCGAAAGUA
rnacentral:misc_RNA from 1 species